AAAAAUCAAAGGUUACUUUAAACCUGCUAAGUUAUAAAGUCUGUAGUUCAACUCUAUAGGAUUUUUG
rnacentral:tRNA from 1 species